rnacentral:rRNA from 1 species
GCAAGUCGAACGGCGGCAUGAUCUAGCUUGCUAGAUUGAUGGCGAGUGGCGAACGGGUGAGUAAUACAUCGGAACGUGCCCUGUAGUGGGGGAUAACUAGUCGAAAGAUUAGCUAAUACCGCAUACGACCUGAGGGUGAAAGUGGGGGACCGCAAGGCCUCAUGCUAUAGGAGCGGCCGAUGUCUGAUUAGCUAGUUGGUGGGGUAAAGGCCCACCAAGGCGACGAUCAGUAGCUGGUCUGAGAGGACGAUCAGCCACACUGGGACUGAGACACGGCCCAGACUCCUACGGGAGGCAGCAGUGGGGAAUUUUGGACAAUGGGCGAAAGCCUGAUCCAGCAAUGCCGCGUGUGUGAAGAAGGCCUUCGGGUUGUAAAGCACUUUUGUCCGGAAAGAAAUGGCUCUGGUUAAUACCUGGGGUCGAUGACGGUACCGGAAGAAUAAGGACCGGCUAACUACGUGCCAGCAGCCGCGGUAAUACGUAGGGUCCAAGCGUUAAUCGGAAUUACUGGGCGUAAAGCGUGCGCAGGCGGUUGUGCAAGACCGAUGUGAAAUCCCCGAGCUUAACUUGGGAAUUGCAUUGGUGACUGCACGGCUAGAGUGUGUCAGAGGGGGGUAGAAUUCCACGUGUAGCAGUGAAAUGCGUAGAGAUGUGGAGGAAUACCGAUGGCGAAGGCAGCCCCCUGGGAUAACACUGACGCUCAUGCACGAAAGCGUGGGGAGCAAACAGGAUUAGAUACCCUGGUAGUCCACGCCCUAAACGAUGUCAACU